GUUUGAUCCUGGCUCAGAACGAACGCUGGCGGCAGGCUUAACACAUGCAAGUCGAGCGCUCGCAGCAAUGCGGGAGCGGCAGACGGGUGAGUAACGCGUGGGAACAUACCCUUCGGUUCGGAAUAGCUCAGGGAAACUUGAAUUAAUACCGGAUACGGCCAGAAGUGAAAAUUUCUGGCGAAAGAUUUAUCGCCGAAGGAUUGGCCCGCGUUCGAUUAGCUAGUUGGUGAGGUAACGGCUCACCAAGGCGACGAUCGAUAGCUGGUCUGAGAGGAUGAUCAGCCACAUUGGGACUGAGACACGGCCCAAACUCCUACGGGAGGCAGCAGUGGGGAAUAUUGGACAAUGGGCGCAAGCCUGAUCCAGCCAUGCCGCGUGAGUGAUGACGGCCUUAGGGUUGUAAAGCUCUUUCGCUAGGGACGAUAAUGACGGUACCUAGACAAGAAGCCCCGGCUAACUUCGUGCCAGCAGCCGCGGUAAUACGAAGGGGGCUAGCGUUGUUCGGAAUUACUGGGCGUAAAGCGCGUGUAGGCGGGCUUUUAAGUCAGGGGUGAAAUGCCAAGGCUCAACCUUGGAACUGCCUUUGAUACUGGAAGUCUUGAGUCCGGGAGAGGUGAGUGGAACUGCGAGUGUAGAGGUGAAAUUCGUAGAUAUUCGCAAGAACACCAGUGGCGAAGGCGGCUCACUGGCCCGGAACUGACGCUGAGACGCGAAAGCGUGGGGAGCAAACAGGAUUAGAUACCCUGGUAGUCCACGCUGUAAACGAUGGAUGCUAGCCGUUGGGGAGCUUGCUCUUCAGUGGCGCAGCUAACGCUUUAAGCAUCCCGCCUGGGGAGUACGGUCGCAAGAUUAAAACU
rnacentral:rRNA from 1 species